ACCAGCCAGUGUUCUUAACCAUUGAGCCAUCUCUCCAGCCCCAGAUGCUGGAGAUUUAAAGGUGACUUAAAGAUGUAACUUCAGUGAACCGGACAUGGUUUCCAAUCCCAGUGCACUCGGUGAAUGCCCACUGAGACCUAUGCUUCAGUGUCUUCAUCUAAAAAAUGACAGGUUUGGGGUUUAGAUUACUAGUAUGUACUAAGGUUUUAUUAGUGCUGGGUGGCUUGCACAUUACUAAGUACUGCCCCCUGCCUUUAAAGUCUGAAACUGUUAUUGCUACCCAAAUCUUAUAAUUGGAUUGAGAAAACAAACCACAAUUAGAAAAAAAGAUAACUAAUAAUACUAGGAAUUAUGUGAUUAAUGUUACAUAACGGACUGUAGGGAUGAGAACAUACAAAGCCUGUACUGAAGAUCUUUAUUGUGGAAAUUGUUAACUGCAAUUUCUCUAAUAAAGACUGGUAAACCACCUCUUUUGGCGUUAUCAAGAAUUCGUACUUGAGGGCCAGUGGGAGGCUCAGGGUAUAAGGGUGGUUGCUGUCAAGCCUAACAACUGAGUUCAGUCCCUGGGACCCACAUGUUGGAAGGAAAGAAUUGGCUCCCACAGGCUGUCCUCUGACUGCCACAUGUGUGCUGUGGCAUGCCUGUGCGCUCAUGCACACAUGGACACACACACACACACACAAUGUAAUUUUAUUGAAAAAGAGUUUCCACUUGAUAAUACUUACUUGCAGAAUUUGUACAAUUGGUAUAACUUAUUUUGGUUUGUCCACUUUAAAAAAAAAAACAACUUUAAAAAUGUAAAAAUAAUGUAUCCCCAGUAUAUUGAGGUAAGUUGAAAUGGGUAAAAGAUAUAUUUUUACAGUACAGUGCAUCAUCCAAAAAUGUCUUUUUAUUCCUAAUGCUCAUCGAGUUUUUCAUUUUGUUCCUGUUGUACUCCUAGCUUUUAGCCCAGUGACUGACUUUUAGUAAGCAUUUCAGAAGUACGGUUAAGGGACAAAUAUGAAAUUAUAUUUUAACUGUUAAGCAUUUUUUGAAUCAUGUAAAAGUAAUUGUUAAAAAUGAUUCCAUUUGCUACACAUACCUGGAGAGGUCACAGAUCUUAGAGAAAGCCCCGAGGCUCUCACAUCCCUAGACAAAUGUAAUUUCUGUACAAAAUAUGAAUCCUUAAAUUUACAGACAAGUAUUCUACCAUCCAUCAAAUAAGCUUCUUUUUCAACAGAGAUUAUUACAGAGUUCCACAACUGGUCACACACAGAGAAUUGACCAAAGCCUAAGGGGCACAUCUACAAUGCAACCUCUACUCUUAAGGCUCAUGGAACAUAGAACAAGGGAUGAAGAGGACACUAAUGCACACUAAUGCAUCUUUUUUAAAAAAAUAUUUUAUUAUUAUUUUUACCAGAGCAUAGGGUAGGGUUUUUUUUUUUUUAACAGAAGCAUGGGAGUCCCACAUUUAUACUUGCACUGUAAAGUCCACACUCAAGUACAGAUCCUGUGACUUCCUGACAGCCCAACAAAAUGGUGAGAGAAGUGCCUCUUGGUGUUCUCGGCUUAUAUAUCCUUUGCUUCUCCCCCCACAUACAGCUAAGGUUGACUGAUUGGGUGAGGGGGUAACUGAUUCUCCCCGCAACUCCUUGAUGAGUGUGGAAAGGAGGUGUGACUAUAGCUUGCCAGCAUAGUGGUCAGAGAAUAUUUCCAGUUAACAGUCCACCCCUCCCUCCGGCUCUUACAUUCUUUCCGCCAACCUCUUCCGCAGAAGUCACUGAGCCUUGGAGGGGGUAGUAGGUGUGGGAUGAUCUUCUUUCUGUUGUGGCAAGGCACUGAACUUUAAGGUCUCUGCAUCAUCUGUUUUCCAUGGUCUGUUGGCUGGUUUCAGUGGGAUUCUAUCUACUAUAAAAAUACACAUAGCAAGAAGCGAGACCAUCUAAAUAAACAGUGACUGCUAUAAUAACCUAUGGGAGUAAACAUAAAUGCUUGGUUGGCACUUUGGCAGGUGCAUCAUUUCCAUCUAACAAAGCAAUUGUGGUGACUUCCAACUCGGGCCUAUAUUCUCCCCAGCCACACGGGGUUGGUUGGGUCUACAGUACCAGGUGUGUGUUCCACCCCUAGGAGCAGAUAUGGUAUCCAAUUGAAAAUGCGCUGGUUGUACAUACACUAGUCACUAUUGCACCAGCAGGAACACUAAUUUGUCUUUCAGUUCUCAUCAGUGAGGCUUAGUUGAAGAAUUAUUAGCAGUUGAUUACUGCUGGGUGAGGAAGAGCUGAUUUUCUUAAAGGGAAGGACUCUAAUAGGCUGACUAGACCUAAGUGGAUGAACUUGCACUGAGGGACAUCUGGGGACAGUAACUUGACAUGAUAGGCCUUAACACAAAUGACAGAAUGUAUGAAUUCAAGUGGGGUGACUUUGGGAGGGGGCCGAUGGGGAAGGGGUUAUAAAGAUGAUUAGGAUGUUCUGUAUGAAAUCCACAGAAAUUCAAUAAAAGUUAAAAAAUAAUUAUUCCAUUUGGGGCGCUGGAGAAAUGGCUUAGUGGUUAAGAACAUUGGGUGCUCUUGCAGAGGGCCCAGGUUUGAUUCCUAGCACCCACAUGGCAGCUAACAACCAUCCUUAACUCCAGUUCCAGGGGAAUCUGACACCCUUUUCUGACCUCCCUGCAGGAUUGCAUGACAUGGGUACACUUACAUACAUGCAGGCAAUAUACUC
rnacentral:lncRNA from 1 species